GGAAUAUUGGGCAAUGGAGGAAACUCUGACCCAGCGACGCCGCGUGCGGGAUGAAGGCCUUCGGGUUGUAAACCGCUUUCAGCAGGGAAGAAGCGAAAGUGACGGUACCUGCAGAAGAAGCACCGGCUAACUAUGUGCCAGCAGCCGCGGUAAUACAUAGGGUGCAAGCGUUGUCCGGAAUUAUUGGGCGUAAAGAGCUCGUAGGUGGUUCGUCACGUCGGAUGUGAAACUCUGGGGCUUAACCCCAGACCUGCAUUCGAUACGGGCGAGCUUGAGUAUGGUAGGGGAGUCUGGAAUUCCUGGUGUAGCGGCGGAAUGCGCAGAUAUCAGGAGGAACACCAAUGGCGAAGGCAGGACUCUGGGCCAUUACUGACACUGAGGAGCGAAAGCGUGGGGAGCGAACAGGAUUAGAUACCCUGGUAGUCCACGCCGUAAACGGUGGGCACUAGUUGUGGGGACCUUCCACGGUCUCUGCGACGCAGCUAACGCAUUAAGUGCCCCGCCUGGGGAGUACGAUCGCAAGAUUAAAACUCAAAGGAAUUGACGG
rnacentral:rRNA from 1 species